GACCGCACCAGUCGCCCAGGGCAGUCUGUCCGUGCCUUUCCCCGCUAGUCCUGCGACGGCAGACCGAGGUGGACACGCGCCAGCUCGGCCUCCUGCAGCCUCCCCGGGUCUGAUGAACUCACACCCGUCCCGUGAUCGUCUGCGGACCAGGCCCAGGCCACCUCAGGGUUAAACAAGGCAAAGGACGGGAAGCCCCCCGCUGAGAGCACGCGUCACGCGGGGGAGGACCUGGCCGGCGUUCGCUGGAUCAGGCUCGGGCGGGCUCGGCGCUCCGCUAACAAAGGGGAGUUCCGGGGCCGCAGCGCCGGAGCCGGGGCCACACGGCAGCCCGCCCAGAAGACGCACCAACUUCGCGCGGGGAACUGCGCCCCCACGGUCGGGGCAAACUUUCCCGGCAGGGCGCCGAGAUUGGGAGGGGCGCGGGGCCGGCUGAGCCUGCUCGGAGGACCCCUCCCCCCGCCAGCUGUUGCAGGAUGAGGUCAUCGCCCCCCACCCCUGGCUGUCCCCUUUCUCUGCCCUCUCCAAGAGCGGCCACGGUGAAGUGUGGGCUGGGUCGCAGAAGCCACAGUAGUGGGAGGAAUCGUGCGUGGCGGCAAAGCAUCCUCUCCAAACCCCGACGCUGUUAAAACGGUGCAAAAAGUUCCUUGUGAGGCGCAGCUUUCCGAGGUCCGUGCCCGCACCGGGCGGGCGGGGGCUCAGUCAAGGGUCGGCGGGGGCCUGAGCCGCUGCUCGGUGCCCACUGGCCCGUGCCCCGCCCGCUCCCACCGCGCCCCCUGCCAGUGACCCCGUGGACUCCAAAGCUCCCGCCCGCCGCGGCGCCCCGGUCCCCCAGUCUACCUUGAAUCUCGGGGCCGCGCCCCUGCCAGCUGCUCGCGAUCCGAGGUCCGGCGCGAGCCGUGCGCGCUGCAAGCUCCGGGCUGCGCGGCCGCCCAGGUACCGCGCUUUAUAGCGAGCGAGCUGCGAGCCGCGGGUGACUCAGGGAGACUCCGACGCCACGCCGCGGCCCGCGACCUUCAAAAUAAGAGUCUGCAGGGCCCGGCAAACGGAGGAGGGAGGCGUGGCUGGGGCCUGGGAAGCAGCCCCCAGGUUAAGGGUACCCCGCCCCUUCUCCUAACCCGGUCCCGCCCUUUGCAUCCUUGGGUCGCUCGCCCCUUCUUUGUGACAGGUUAUAAAUCGGGCUUUCCCAGAGCUUUGGGGAAGAAUGGGUAACAGGGAAGAAUUAUGAACUUUUCCAAACCGAUAGAGAUGUUGCCUGCAUGUCAAGGAUAGUGCUAUCUUUUAUAGACUAAAAAGAGGUGUGCGUAAUCGCAGCAUUCAGGAGGCUGAAGCAGGAGGAUCACUGAGAGUUUGAGGCCAGCUCAGGCGAUAGAGUGAACUGUAUCAUGCAAACCUGUCUCAAAGAUAAAUACAAUAAAAUAUAAAAUAAAAUAAAAAA